rnacentral:rRNA from 1 species
AACGAACGCUGGCGGCGUGCCUAACACAUGCAAGUCGAACGAGAAAGGGGCUUCGGCUCCGAGUAAAGUGGCGCACGGGUGAGUAACACGUAGGUAACCUGCCUCUAAGAUUGGGAUAACCUGUCGAAAGACGAGCUAAUACCGAAUAGGACCACGGCUUCCUCGGAAGCAGGGGUCAAAGGUAGCCUCUACUUGUAAGCUAUCACUUAGAGAUGGGCCUGCGUACCAUUAGCUAGUUGGUGGGGAACGGCCUACCAAGGCAAAGAUGGUUAGCUGGUCUGAGAGGAUGAUCAGCCACACUGGAACUGAGACACGGUCCAGACUCCUACGGGAGGCAGCAGUGGGGAAUAUUGCGCAAUGGGCGAAAGCCUGACGCAGCAACGCCGCGUGAGUGAUGAAGG